rnacentral:lncRNA from 1 species
CUGUGUUCUCUCUUUCUACAAUAAUAGGGAAGCCUAAGGUAGUCGAAACCCUGAUCUAUUUCUAUAUUAUUGAAUUUCUUUUUGAUGUUUUUACUCACAAGAAGACUAUAUUUCUUCGGAUAUUGAGUAUUCUAAUUGAUUUUGUAUUAACUGCAGAAUAAAAUUGAAUUUUCAGCGAUCUAGGGGUACAAUAUGACGACCGCAGCCAGACCCACAUGGGCACCUGCCAAAGGAGGGAAUGAACAAGGGGGAACUCGAAUUUUCGGUCCAUCCCAAAAGUAUUCUUCCAGGGACAUUGCCUCUCACACUACCUUGAAACCUAGGUUCGUUUCUUUUCUUUUUCAUUUCAAUUUUCACUGGCUUUACGUUAGUUAGUUUUCACUUAUGUUAUAUAUGCGUGGAAUUUGUGUUUUCUUAAUCGUUAAUUCUUCUUUAACAUUUUGUUGAUGGUUUAGUGUAAAUUGGUAUUUUGUGGUUAAUGAGGCUGUUUCUUAUGUUGCCUACUAACCACGAUAAAUGAAUUUUCUGCCAUUUGAUCAUGUCGAGAUUAAAUAAAUAACUUCUAAAGAAUAAAUUGUGGGAAAGUACGGUGAUGUUAGUUUUUGCUGUCAUUGUUAAGGCUUUGUGCGUAUUUUCCAGAAUGUAUAACAGGGUUUGCUGUAGAUAUUAACUGAAAAGAAUGGAUGACUUUAAACUGAUUAAAUGAUUCUCUUGUAGCUUCCCACAUUUGGCUUUUCUUAUCUAGAUUUCCAUCCUGCUGAGUUGGAUUCUACCCCCUGACUGACAGGUUAUUGUUUGUUCUAAACUAGAAAAUGAUUUCGAUAUGGCUUUUAAAAUCUCAAUAGAAACUCUCUCUCUCUCAUCUUACCUUGGGGAAAUUUUGGAAGAACUUCUAUGGACUGCACCCCAUAGCUAUCCAUUAAUGG